rnacentral:snoRNA from 17 species
AUGCACGGUGCUAACCCCGGGCUUGUCGGAUUGGAAUCCUCUGAAGAAUGAAGCCCCAAUGCCUGUGCUAGAUCCACCAUGCCAUUCAGUGUUGCAGGUCAUGAUGCUUCGAGCUCGUGAUUGGUCUGUGUCAGCGUAAUGGAUACAUUU